CGGAGGGUGCAAGCGUUAUCCGGAUUCACUGGGUUUAAAGGGUGCGUAGGAGGGCAGGUAAGUCAGUGGUGAAAUCUCCAAGCUUAACUUGGAAACUGCCGUUGAUACUAUCUGUCUUGAAUACUGUGGAGGUGAGCGGAAUAUGUCAUGUAGCGGUGAAAUGCUUAGAUAUGACAUAGAACACCAAUUGCGAAGGCAGCUCACUACACAUAUAUUGACUCUGAGGCACGAAAGCGUGGGGAUCAAACAGGAUUAGAUACCCUGGUAGUCCACGCCCUAAACUAUGGAUACUCGACAUACGCGAUAAACUGUGUGUGUCUGAGCGAAAGCAUUAAGUAUCCCACCUGGGAAGUACGACCGCAAGGUUG
rnacentral:rRNA from 1 species